GACGAACCGUGCAAACGUUGUUCGGAAUCACUGGGCUUAAAGGGCGCGUAGGCGGGGGACCAAGUCCGGGGUGAAAUCUUUCGGCUCAACCGGAAAAUAGCCUUGGAUACUGGUGGUCUGGAGGGUGGUAGGGGCAUGUGGAACUUCCGGUGGAGCGGUGAAAUGCGUUGAUAUCGGAAGGAACGCCGGUGGCGAAAGCGACGUGCUGGACCACUACUGACGCUGAGGCGCGAAAGCCAGGGGAGCAAACGGG
rnacentral:rRNA from 1 species